UACGUAGGGUGCGAGCGUUAAUCGGAAUUACUGGGCGUAAAGCGUGCGCAGGCGGCUUCGCAAGACAGAUGUGAAAUCCCCGGGCUCAACCUGGGAACUGCAUUUGUGACUGCAAGGCUAGAGUACGGCAGAGGGGGAUGGAAUUCCGCGUGUAGCAGUGAAAUGCGUAGAUAUGCGGAGGAACACCAAUGGCGAAGGCAAUCCCCUGGGCCUGUACUGACGCUCAUGCACGAAAGCGUGGGGAGCAAACAGG
rnacentral:rRNA from 1 species